rnacentral:tRNA from 1 species
GACCACAUAGUGCAAUAAUGGAUUAUCGUGUCAGACUUUGAAUCAGAAUGUCGUGGGUUCACCUCCCACUGUGGUUA